UACGUAGGCACCAAGCGUUGUCCGGAUUUAUUGGGCGUAAAGAGCUCGUAGGCGGUUCGGUAAGUCGGGUGUGAAAACUCUGGGCUCAACCCAGAGAGGCCACCCGAUACUGCCGUGACUGGAGUGCGGUAGAGGAGAAUGGAAUUCCCGGUGUAGCGGUGAAAUGCGCAGAUAUCGGGGGGAACACCAGUAGCGAAGGCGGUUCUCUGGGCCGGUACUGACGCUGAGGAGCGAAAGCGUGGGGAGCAAACAGG
rnacentral:rRNA from 1 species